ensembl:snRNA
GUGUUGUAGAAAAGGAGAUAACAUGAGCAGUCCCUUGACAAGCAUGAAAGAGACCCUCUACCCUGACAACGCACAUACGGUUUAAGCACUGCCCCCUACUUCAUGGUAUCUGUCCACUGAUUUUC